ACUGUGCUUUCACCUGUAUCACGAUUUCUAGGUUCAUCUGCCCAUAAUUCUCUAAGAUUUGGAGCUGUUGAGGAGUGGCUCAUAGUAGACACUGAACCAUCAGCCAACAGCAUUUGUUGUCCUGGAUGUCUGUGCCAACCUUUCGAGUCACACUGGGGUCUAAAGACACACCUGGAAUAAAAAUCAGAAUGCUUAAGAAACUUAAUAUGAUCUGCGGGAGAAUACAUGAGGUUUUUGUUUCAUACCACAGUCUGAUGACAGCAUGGAUUUCAACUGAUGAUGUUCACCUUUGCCUCUUGGGUAUGUUGACCUCACAGUCGUCCCCUGAUAAGACUGCUCUUUUCCUUGGUGUUUAAUAAAUAAGGGAAUCUACACGGAGAUACUACAAAUAUUCUAUCUUACCUAAACUUUAUCAACCAAGUUUAAAGUUUGCUGGCAUACUGUGUUAGUGUAAGGACAGU
rnacentral:lncRNA from 1 species